rnacentral:rRNA from 1 species
UGGGGAAUAUUGCACAAUGGACGAAAGUCUGAUGCAGCAACGCCGCGUGAGGGAAGAAGGCCUUCGGGUUGUAAACCUCUAUCGACAGGGACGAAAGAAAUGACGGUACCUGAGUAAGAAGCACCGGCUAACUACGUGCCAGCAGCCGCGGUAAUACGUAGGGUGCAAGCGUUAUCCGGAAUUACUGGGUGUAAAGGGUGAGUAGGCGGCUAGGCAAGUCAUAUGUGAAAAUUCGGGGCUUAACCUCGAACCUGCAUAAGAAACUGUUUAGCUAGAGUACAGGAGAGGUAAGCGGAAUUCCUAGUGUAGCGGUGAAAUGCGUAGAUAUUAGGAAGAACACCAGUGGCGAAGGCGGCUUACUGGACUGUAACUGACGCUGAGUCACGAAAGCGUGGGGAGCGAACA